rnacentral:rRNA from 1 species
AUUGAACGCUGGCGGCAGGCCUAACACAUGCAAGUCGAACGAGUGGCGGACGGGUGAGUAAUGUCUGGGAAACUGCCUGCUGGAGGGGGAUAACUACUGGAAACGGUAGCUAAUACCGCAUAACAUCAGAUGUGCCAAGAUGGGAUUGGCUGGUUGGUGGGGUAACGGCUAACCAAGGCGACGAGCCCUAGCUGGUCUGAGAGGAUGACCAGCCACACUGGAACUGAGACACGGACCAGAAUCCUACGGGAGGCAGCAGUGGGGAAUAUUGCACAAGGGGCGAAAGCCUGAGGCAGCAAUGCCGCGUGUAUGAAGAAGGCCUUCGGGUUGUAAAGUACUGUCAGCGGGGAUGCGUUACCCGGAGAAGAAGCACCGGCUAACUCCGGGCCAGCAGCCGCGGUAAUUC